rnacentral:tRNA from 1 species
UCAAUCGGUAGAGCGUGAGACUCUUAAUCUCAAGGUUGUGGGUUCGACCCCCAC